rnacentral:rRNA from 1 species
AGAGUUUGAUCCUGGCUCAGGAUGAACGCUGGCGGCGUGCUUAACACAUGCAAGUCGAACGAACCUUCGGGUUAGUGGCGGACGGGUGAGUAACGCGUGAGAAUCUGCCCUCAGGAGGGGGAUAACGGCUGGAAACGGCCGCUAAUACCCCAUAUGCCGAGAGGUGAAAUGAAUUUCGCCUGAGGAUGAGCUCGCGUCUGAUUAGCUAGUUGGUGGGGUAAGAGCCUACCAAGGCGUCGAUCAGUAGCUGGUCUGAGAGGAUGAUCAGCCACACUGGGACUGAGACACGGCCCAGACUCCUACGGGAGGCAGCAGUGGGGAAUUUUCCGCAAUGGGCGAAAGCCUGACGGAGCAACGCCGCGUGAGGGAUGAAGGCCUCUGGGCUGUAAACCUCUUUUCUCAAGGAAGAAGAUCUGACGGUACUUGAGGAAUAAGCCACGGCUAAUUCCGUGCCAGCAGCCGCGGUAAUACGGGAGUGGCAAGCGUUAUCCGGAAUUAUUGGGCGUAAAGCGUCCGCAGGCGGCCUCGUAAGUCUGUUGUCAAAGCGUGGAGCUUAACUCCAUUUCGGCAAUGGAAACUGUGAGGCUUGAGUGUGGUAGGGGCAGAGGGAAUUCCCGGUGUAGCGGUGAAAUGCGUAGAUAUCGGGAAGAACACCAGUGGCGAAGGCGCUCUGCUGGGCCAUAACUGACGCUCAUGGACGAAAGCCAGGGGAGCGAAAGGGAUUAGAUACCCCUGUAGUCCUGGCCGUAAACGAUGAACACUAGGUGUCGGGGGAAUCGACCCCCUCGGUGUCGUAGCCAACGCGUUAAGUGUUCCGCCUGGGGAGUACGCACGCAAGUGUGAAACUCAAAGGAAUUGACGGGGGCCCGCACAAGCGGUGGAGUAUGUGGUUUAAUUCGAUGCAACGCGAAGAACCUUACCAGGGUUUGACAUCCUGCGAACCCCUGAGAAAUCGGGGGGUGCCUUCGGGAGCGCAGUGACAGGUGGUGCAUGGCUGUCGUCAGCUCGUGUCGUGAGAUGUUGGGUUAAGUCCCGCAACGAGCGCAACCCACGUCUUUAGUUGCCAGCAUUCAGUUGGGCACUCUAGAGAGACCGCCGGUGAUAAACCGGAGGAAGGUGUGGAUGACGUCAAGUCAUCAUGCCCCUUACAUCCUGGGCUACACACGUACUACAAUGCUACGGACAAAGGGCAGCAAACUCGCGAGAGCUAGCAAAUCCCAUAAACCGUGGCUCAGUUCAGAUCGUAGGCUGCAACUCGCCUACGUGAAGGAGGAAUCGCUAGUAAUCGCAGGUCAGCAUACUGCGGUGAAUACGUUCCCGGGCCUUGUACACACCGCCCGUCACACCAUGGAAGUUGGCCACGCCCGAAGCCGUUACUCCAACCCUUGUGGAGGAGGACGUCGAAGGUGGGGCUGAUGACUGGGGUGAAGUCGUAACAAGGUAGCCGUACCGGAAGGUGCGGCUGGAUCACCU